GCGCGGCCGCACCUCCUCUCUAGGCCCGCGGGCCCCUUCCCACCACAGACCUCCCCCCGCGCCCACGCGAUCCCGCGUCCCCGGUCCCGUCCUCGAGCCAGGGCCUCCCGCGCCCACCAGUCCCCAACAAGCCCCGCCCCCGUGCGAUCCCUCCCGGAAGCGCCGGCGGAGCGUCCUCGCGUGGAGCGCCCUCGCAUGGAGCGCGAGCCCAGCGCCUCGGAGGCCGCCCCCGUGGCGGCCGCGCUCUUCGCCUGGGGUGCAAACAGUUAUGGGCAACUUGGCCUUGGCCAUAAGGAAGAUGUGCUGUUGCCCCAGCAACUGAAUGACUUCUGUAAACCCAGGUGUAUCAGGAGGAUCACAGGAGGAGGGGGCCAUUCUGCAAUUAUCACAGAUGGAGGGGACCUCUUUGUUUGUGGCCUGAACAGAGAUGGGCAACUGGGGCUUGGUCACACAGAGGAUGUCCCAUCUUUUACCCCCUGCAAAUCCCUCCUUGGCUGUCCCAUCCAACAGGUGGCCUGUGGCUGGGAUUUUACCAUUAUACUCACUGAAAACGGUCAGGUUCUAUCAUGUGGAUCCAACUCCUUUGGCCAGUUAGGAGUUCCUCAUGGACCUCGAAGAUGUGUGGUUCCCCAGGCCAUUGAGCUCCAUAAAGAGAAGAUUGUUUGUAUUGCUGCUGGACUGAGGCAUGCGUUAGCUGCUACAGUGCGUGGCAUCGUGUUCCAGUGGGGAACUGGUUUGGCAUCACGUGGACGACGGUUGUGCCCUGGGCAGACUCUUCCACUGUUUUUCACAGCAAAGGAACCGAGCAGAGUGACAGGUCUAGAGAAUUCUAAAGCAGUGUGUGUUAUUGCUGGCUCAGACCACUCAGCUUCAUUAACGGAUGCUGGAGAGGUGUAUGUUUGGGGAAGCAACAAGCAUGGGCAACUGGCUACUGAGGCUGCUUUCCUUCCUGUGCCUCAGAAAAUAGAAGCACAUUGUUUCCAGAAUGAAAAUGUCACUGCCGUCUGGAGUGGGUGGACACACCUGGUUGCUCAGACAGAAACUGGGAAGGUGUUUACCUGGGGCCGAGCAGACUAUGGUCAACUAGGGAGGAAGUUGGAGACUUAUGAAGGCUGGAAACUAGAAAAGCAAGAUUCAUUUCUCCCCUGUUCAAGACCACCGAACAGCAUGCCCUCAUCUCUGCAUUGCUUAACUGGAGCUACCGAGCUACUGCCCCAGCUACCAACUAGAGGAGUCACUCCUGACAACUAUUUCAAGGUUUCUUGUGGCUCAGAGCAUAAUUUGGCAGUAAUUGGCCUUCAUCUUCAAGAUUUUCUCAAGGUCCAAGAUGGCUACUAGCAAUAUUCAGCCAGAUAGAAGGGAGAAAUGACAAAAAGAGGCCUUUUUAAGGCACUUUCCCAGAAGUGGUGCCCAGCAGUGUCAACUUAAAACCGAUUGGCCAGAGCCUAGUUACAUCGCCAAACCUGUUACGAAGGCUGGGAAAUGAGACUUCUGCCUGGGCAUAUGGCCACCCUGCAUAAAAUCUGAGGUCUGUUACCAGGAAAGAAGAGGAGAUUGGCUUGUGAGCAGGUGGUGUGUGUUACUCUUGGGGCUGGAACUGAGCAUGGCAUGUGCGGAGAUGGCACCGAAGCCAACGUCUGGGCCCCGAAGCCUGUGCAGGCCCUGCCGUCAUCGUCAGGACUCCUUGUGGGCUGUGGGGCUGGCCACUCCCUGGCCCUCUGCCAGCUGCCACCUCACCCUACAUUGGGCCAGGAGCCCAAGGUCACCUACCUUUCCCCAGAUGCCACUGAGGACACUGACUCUCAGGAAGCCAUGGACAAAGAGAGAAACUAGAAGGAAAGACAGUCAGAAACUCCAAUCCAAAGUCAAUCUGACUGGUCCAGAAAUGGGGGACUGUGACAGAGAAUCUUUUAAUAAAGUGGCUUUUCCCACCAAAA